rnacentral:rRNA from 1 species
GACAGAGGGGGCGAGCGUUGACCGGAGUCACUGGGCGUAAAGCGCGCGCAGGAGGCAACCUUAGUGCCGUGUGAAAGCCCCCGGCUCAACCGGGGGAGGCCAUGGCAAACUGGGUCGCUCGAGCUGCGGAGAGGCCCCUCGAAUUGCCGGUGUAGCGGUGAAAUGCGUAGAGAUCGGCAGGAAGACCAAGGGGGAAGCCAGGGGGCUGGCCGCAGGCUGACGCUGAGGCGCGACAGCGUGGGGAGCAAACCGG